AUUGAACGCUGGCGGCAGGCUUAACACAUGCAAGUCGAGCGGUAACAGAGAGAAGCUUGCUUUUCUGCUGACGAGCGGCGGACGGGUGAGUAAUGCCUAGGAAUCUGCCUAGUAGUGAGGGAUAACUUGCCGAAAGGUAAGCUAAUACCGCAUACGUCCUACGGGAGAAAGGAGGGGACCUUCGGGCCUUUCGCUAUUAGAUGAGCCUAGGUCGGAUUAGUUAGUUGGUGAGGUAAUGGCUCACCAAGACCGCGAUCCGUAACUGGUCUGAGAGGAUGAUCAGUCACCCUGGACCUGAGACACGGUCCAGACUCCUACGGGAGGCAGCAGUGGGGAAUAUUGGACAAUGGGGGGAACCCUGAUCCAGCCAUGCCGCGUGUGUGAAGAAGGUCUUAGGAUUGUAAAGCACUUUAAGUUGGGAGGAAGAGCAGUUAACUAAUAUUUGACUGUUUUGACGUUACCGACAGAAUAAGCACCGGCUAACUUCGUGCCAGCAGCCGCCGUAAAAC
rnacentral:rRNA from 1 species